CUGCAGCCAAUUAAGCCGACCAGGACCCCCCCCCAGUGGGGUCUUGGUGUGCAAUGGCUGCAAACAGAGACCCCCCCGGCUGUGUAGGGUGCCCGGACCCCCAACCCUGCCGGGGCACCCAAAGGGGCCGGGGGCACAAAU